GAUGAAGAACGCAGCGAAAUGCGAUAAGUAAUGCGAAUUGCAGAAUUUCCGUGAGUCAUCGAAUCUUUGAACGCACAUUGCGCCCACUGGUAUUCUGGCGGGCAUGCCUGUUCGAGCGUCAUUACAACCCUCAGGCCCCCGGGCCUGGCGUUGGGGAUCGGCGGAGCCCCCCGGGCACACGCCGUCCCCCAAAUACAGUGGCGGUCCCGCCGCAGCUUCCAAUGCGUAGUACCCCAACCUCGCAACUGGAGAGCGGCGCGGCCACGCCGUAAAACCCCCGACUUCUGAACGUUGACCUCGAAUCAGGUAGGAAUACCCGCUGAACUUAAGCAUAUCAAUAAGCGGAGGA
rnacentral:misc_RNA from 1 species